CUUUCCCAAAUUCCCCACAUUUCCCAAUUGUGCUUCCACGUUCUAUUCUUUUUGUUCCUUCCUUUCUUGUACUUUCUUUAUUUUCCCUUCUUUCAUUUACGCCUCCUGUGCUAUUUUGUUCUUGAUUUCUUUGUUAUUUUGUUUUAAUCUCUUCCUUGUGAAUUGGUAUGGGGUUCAACCUUAUUCUUUUGUGCGAUUAUGAUUCUACGGGAAUUCAUAGGUGUUAAUCAAGAAGUUCAAAAUUUUCCUAUUGUGAGUCAGUGGUACUUGGUUCUGCUGUGGAUUUUUGGGUUUUGGAAGUCUUGCGAGUGGAUUCACUUCAGAAACAAUAAAUGAGUGUAACGAAAAACCUGAAAAUUAGCGAACAACAAAACCAUGUGACAGGCUGUGUGCUGGGCUGUGUGUGACACAUAGUUUAGGCCAAUUGGGCCGUGUGGGCCAUACAAGGGCAUGUGUGAGGUCGUGUAGGCCAUACGCGUGCCUAAGGCCGUAAAUAUCAUUUGAAUCGAAUGUAGGCCUUCCAUAGGGUUUGUAUGUGAUCAAUGAAGUUAUAAAACAUGAAAUUUGACCAUCUGUCAGCAUAAAAUAUGACAUAUGAACGCAUAUAUGAGGUGAUAAAUCUAUAGUAUGUAUAAUCUGAAAAGUGUUAUGUAUGUUCUGUAUUGGUCAUGAUAAGCAUGUAUAUCAUAAAAAUAUUUGACAUCUGUUAGUUCUGCAUUUGCAUUUGGGAUGGGACUUGUGUAUAUGAUAGAAGUGUAGGCUAUCUCUAUCGUAAUUGGUGGCACAACCAUAUAUUUUUUUGUAAACAGCGAUAAAUCACUUAAUAAAUUGGUAGCUCAGCUGCAAAUAUUCUGAAAAGUGUCAUACCAGCACUAAACAGUGUGUAGGGUUGGAUGGGUUUAUAAUACCCUAUAUGGAGUGUUGGGAUGGCAGAGAUGGUGUGUAGUGGAUGGGGAUAGGAUUAUAUAUAUUUGCAUCUGUUAUGUUUUGAUAAGCUCUGCUUCUAAUAUAUAUAUAUAUAUCUAUAUGUCUAAUUGAUUUCUAUAUGAUAUGCUACACAAUAAGUUUCAAAAACUCACUUUCUGUUGUUUGUCAAUUAGGUAACCCUCAUACUUAGGAUGGGUCGGUGUGACGGAACUUGGUUAAAAUAAAUAAAUUAAUCAUUA